UUCACAAGCAAGCUUCAAAUUGACAAGGAGAUUAGGCUCAAAUCCGAUGCAUGAACUCGUUUUCUUGACAAUCUAUCCCUAGCAAGCAUGUGGAGUCAUGUCAAGACGGACUCAAGCAUGAAAGGCUAACGGGUCAAGAGGAGGCAAGGAAUCGGAUACGAACCCGGAUGCACAAGGUAGUACGAGUCAUGAGGAUCAUCAAGGAACAGAGAUCGAGGA